CCUUCGGGCUGGUGUGGUGGAGCACGUGACCCUAUCCGGUAGUAGGUAAGCUAUGGGGUGACGCAAGAAGGUAGUCCAGCCCGGGCGAUGGUAGACCCGGGGUAAGGGUGUAGGGCGGACCGUAGGUAAAUCCGCGGUCCAUGUGCCUGAGACCUGAUGCCGAGGCGAUUACGCCGAAGUGGAUGAUCCUAUGCUGCCUAGAAAAGCCUCUAUGCGAGGUUCGAGCCGCCCGUACCCUAAACCGACUCAGGUGGUCAGGUAGAGAAUACCAAGGCGAUCGAGUGAAUCGUGGUUAAGGAACUCGGCAAAAUGCCCCCGUAACUUCGGGAGAAGGGGGGCCUGAGGGGUGAUGGCACUUGCUGCCUGAGCUCUUGAAGGCCGCAGAGACCAGGGAGAAGCGACUGUUUACUAAAAACACAGGUCCGUGCGAAGUCGCAAGACGAUGUAUACGGACUGACGCCUGCCCGGUGCUGGAACGUUAAGGGGACGGGUUAGCCGCAAGGCGAAGCUCAGAACUUAAGCGCCAGUAAACGGCGGUGGUAACUAUAACCAUCCUAAGGUAGCGAAAUUCCUUGUCGGGUAAGUUCCGACCUGCACGAAUGGCGUAACGACUUCUCCGCUGUCUCAACCGCGAACUCGGCGAAAUUGCAUUACGAGUAAAGAUGCUCGUUACGCGCAGCAGGACGGAAAGACCCCGGGACCUUUACUAUAGCUUGGUAUUGGUGUUCGGAACGGCUUGUGUAGGAUAGGUGGGAGACUGUGAAGUCGGCACGCUAGUGCUGGUGGAGUCAACGUUGAAAUACCACUCUGGUCGUUCUGGAUAUCUAACUUCGGUCCGUGAUCCGGAUCAGGAACAGUGCCUGGUGGGUAGUUUAACUGGGGCGGUUGCCUCCCAAAGAGUAACGGAGGCGCCCAAAGGUUCCCUCAGCCUGGUUGGCAAUCAGGUGUCGAGUGUAAGUGCACAAGGGAGCUUGACUGCGAGACAGACAUGUCAAGCAGGAACGAAAGUUGGGACUAGUGUCCCGGCCGUGGUGAGUGGAAACGCGGUCGAUUAACGGAUAAAAGGUACCCCGGGGAUAACAGGCUGAUCUUGCCCAAGAGUCCAUAUCGACGGCAUGGUUUGGCACCUCGAUGUCGGCUCGUCGCAUCCUGGGGCUGGAGUCGGUCCCAAGGGUUGGGCUGUUCGCCCAUUAAAGCGGUACGCGAGCUGGGUUUAGAACGUCGUGAGACAGUUCGGUCCCUAUCCGCUGCGCGCGCAGGAAACUUGAGAAGGGCUGUCCUUAGUACGAGAGGACCGGGACGGACGAACCUCUGGUGUGCCAGUUGUUCCGCCAGGAGCAUGGCUGGUUGGCUACGUUCGGAAGGGAUAACCGCUGAAGGCAUCUAAGCGGGAAGCUCGCUUCAAGAUGAGGUUUCCAUGGGGUGUUCCCCGAGAGGCUCCCAGCUAGACUAC
rnacentral:rRNA from 1 species